rnacentral:rRNA from 1 species
GAGUUUGAUCAUGGCUCAGGACGAACGCUGGCGGCACGCCUAACACAUGCAAGUCGAACGGAGAUAUUUUGGUUUACUGAGAUAUCUUAGUGGCGGACGGGUGAGUAACACGUGAGCAACCUGCCUCUGAGAGAGGGAUAGCUUCUGGAAACGGAUGGUAAUACCUCAUAACAUAACGAAGCCGCAUGACUUUGUUAUCAAAGAUUUAUCACUCAGAGAUGGGCUCGCGUCUGAUUAGAUAGUUGGUGAGGUAACGGCCCACCAAGUCGACGAUCAGUAGCCGGACUGAGAGGUUGAACGGCCACAUUGGGACUGAGACACGGCCCAGACUCCUACGGGAGGCAGCAGUGGGGAAUAUUGCACAAUGGGGGAAACCCUGAUGCAGCGAUGCCGCGUGGAGGAAGAAGGUUUUCGGAUUGUAAACUCCUGUCUUAAAGGACGAUAAUGACGGUACUUUAGGAGGAAGCUCCGGCUAACUACGUGCCAGCAGCCGCGGUAAUACGUAGGGAGCGAGCGUUGUCCGGAAUUACUGGGUGUAAAGGGAGCGUAGCGGGAUGGCAAGUCAGAUGUGAAAACUAUGGGCUCACCCAUAGACUGCAUUUGAAACUGUUGUUCUUGAGUGAAGUAKAGGWAAGCGGAWUYCCUGGUGUAKCGGKGA